rnacentral:lncRNA from 1 species
AAAUCCUAAAAAUGGCUGCCGUGCAGAUGAUUUACAUUCUCUGGAUUGCAACGAGGCAAGCCAGGGCACAGAUCUUUCAGGCAAGGAUUGUCCCUCAGUUAUACUUGUUCAGUGUCCAGCUUCAUGAGGGAGGUGUGAAUGUGCAUCCACUGAGAUACAGCUGUGCAGCUAAUGAUUGGUGUUGGGCUAGUAGCUGA